CUGCAGAUAGAUUUCUCAGUCUGCAAGGAAGUUUGAGUCACCUUAAACCAAGAUAAGCUAUUGCUAGCUCCACCUUUUAGACCACAAUGCAGUAGACUUCGACAAGUGGUGCCAAUUACAGGACACCAAGGAAGGAAGGAAGUUUUGCAUGCUGGCUGGAACUUUGGCUUUCCUGAAGAGAUAUACUGGGGCUUCUGACCACUGGAUCAGCCUGCACAGAGAGUCAUCAGAACACCCUUGGAGGUUUACAGACAACACUGAAUAUAACAGCUUGCAUGUUUCAGACUGCUUUUCCUUCUCCUGUGUUCCUGUGUUGUGAUGAUUGACAAUUGUGGCUAUGAGACAGGAAAGGCUGAGUGAAG